UAGGAGUGGGCAAGCAUCGCGGCUGCCACUUAUCUCGCUGCCGCCCUGCUAGGUGCCCAUAUGCGCGAGAGCAAGUACAGCGACAGCAGAAAGAAGCACCUUUCACCAUAUUCACGCUCCUAUUCCCUCAUAAUCUUCUCCACACCUGCAUACAUACACGGGUGAGGGCCAGACGCUUGAGCCCUGCCGAGACGGAAAGGGCAGGUGGAGAGUCGAGCACACGCACACGUUGACGCAACACAUGGGGUCUUCAUUGAGAACGUAUUCGCCUGUUGCCUGCUGAUUCGCCCUUUCUUGCGCCAGAAAGGGACCACAAACGCUGUGUUCCGCACACACACACACGCGCACACCUACGCACAGAUACAGAAGCGCGAGCAAACCUCUUUUUUUUUGCACUUUUUCGUUUCUGUUGGCGAAGACACGCCCAUACGCACGGAGAAGGACGGCAAGACCACACCUCACCGACAGCAUCUUCAUCUCCCUCCCACUCGCGUCUCCCUCUGAGUGGGCUCUUCUUCUUCAUUUCCUCCGUGCAGCCGAGGUGCUGUUUUGUUUUGACUUCUCAGUUUUUUUGCUGCGUGUGUCUUGUGCACUCCGCUCCGCAUUCGCUCCGUUAUCGAGCGCACGUGCCAACUUCCCGGGCAGCUGCGCAGCACACUGCAGUUUUUUCGCCCGCCUUCAGAGAAGAUACAACGACCCACCCUUCCCCGGCUAACGGUGCCUGAUGAGCUCCGCUGGUGAGGUGAGCGUAGCCGCCGGAUCGGCGGUGGAAGGCGAAGAUUCACGUCUUCGCGUCGGCGAUGCGUUAGACGAAGUCGACGACGGCUCAGCAGCGGCCGCCUCGCCAACUUCGACAACAUCGGCUGCCACGAAGGCGAAGAAGAAGUCGGCCAAGACGCCGACUAACAGGCGCACCAGCGGCAGCGGCAUCGAUGUUUGCGACAACGACGACGGCCAGGCCCUCUCUCGGUGCCUUGUGUACUGUCGACUGCGCCCCACCAUCAAGAAAGAUUACAAGGAAGGCGGCCACGCGCUCGUCACUCUGGAGGACAAGCGCGUCGUCGUCAAAGAUGAGCGCCACUACGACUUUGACGGCAGCUUCGGCCCGCUCGCCGAGCAGUCGGAAGUGUUCGAAUCCGUCGCGAUCCCGUGCAUUGACCAUGCUUUCAACGGCUUCUGCUCCGCGCUGAUGUGUUACGGCCAGACCGGCACUGGGAAGUCCUACACCAUGUGCAACACCGACCCCCAUCACCUCGGCAUCAUCCCCCGUGCGGCGAAGUACAUCUUCGAGAAGAUCCAAGCCAACGAGGCGAGCGACCCGACGCGAACGUACGUGGUGACGGGCCAAUUCGUGCAGAUCUACCGCGAUAAUCUUGGUGACUUGAUGGUGCAUGAGGGCAAGGAUCGGGUGGAGAUCCACUACGACGAGGAGAACGGGGUGUCGCUGACAGGGUGCACCUCCCACGCCUUGGCGAGCUCCAAGGACUUCAUGCGCUUCUACAACGAGGGAAAUGCGCGCCGCGUCAUCGGGUCAACCGCCAUGAACGCGGAGUCGAGCCGCGGGCACACCGCCAUGAUCGUCUACGUCACGUCUGAGGACAUGGAGGACAUCAGCAAAGGUAAACUGCGCGGCAAGAUCACGUUCAUCGAUCUGGCCGGCUACGAGCGCUUUAGCAAGACUGGCAUCACCAACGCCGACCCGAUCCGCAAGGAUGAGGCCAAGACGAUCAACGCAUCUCUCCUGGCUCUCGGCCACGUCGUCAGCUCCCUCUCAGCCGGCACGAAGCACGUUCCGUGGCGCAAUGCGAAGCUGACACGCAUCCUGCAGGACUCGAUCGGCGGGCGUAGCCGCACCUCGAUCAUCCUCACCGUUGGCCCCAGUAGCGAGCACCUCUACGAAACAACCAACACGCUUCAGUUUGGUCUGCGUGCCAUGGCCGUCAAGGUGGAAGCGAAGAUGUCUGUUACGGUGGACUACGUGAAGCUGUCGAAGAAGCUCAUGGGUCUGCUGAGUGAGCGGGAUGAGCGAAUCAGCUCGUUGGAGGUGCAGAUCGCCAACCGCGACGCGGAGCGGCAGGAGCUGCUUGAGCGCUAUCAGCGCGAUCGCGGCGACCUUGAGCAGCGCUUCGCCGCGGAGCUGCAGCAGCUGACCGCGUCCGGGGCGAGCGAGCAGCAGAUCCGCAACCUCAAGGAGGUCUACCAGGUGGAGAUCGAAAACCUGCAGGACCAGCAGCAAGAGGAGAUCGGGUACCAUGAUGAGAUCCACUCGAAGGAGAUCACGCAGUUCAUCAAGGAGCAAAAGCACCAAGAGGCGAAGAGCCUGAUGGAGAUGAAGCUGGCGCAAGAGCGCUUGGUCGAGGAGUUCCAGCGGAAGCUCGACAACGCCCGCGGCGGGACGAACGAGGAUCUCGUGCGCGCGCUACAGCAACUCGCGGAGAAGGACGCCAUUCUCGCCUCGCGUGCCAACGACACGGCCCGCCUACAUGCCACCAUCGACGCGCUCACAACGCAGGUGCGGUCAUUCGGUGGCACGGUGCAAGCGGACGUCGACUUUCCGGAGACUUUUCUUGAUGUCUCGCAGGUGGAGGAGAUGCGGGCCCGCCUGCAGGGUGAGGUGGAGCGCAACUACAACAAGGUAGUCGACCUGUCCACCCAGCUGGAUCGCGCCUCGAUGCUGGCGCGCGAUCGAAUGGAGGAGGUGUCGAAGCUGCAGCAGGAGGCAGAGCGGCUGCACGAGAAGCUUGUCCAGGCCGGUGUGGAGAUCAGCGAGUCCAACGAGGAGCUGCAGGAGCUUCGUGAGAAGCGGGCUGAGCUGGUUGACCCCGAAGAGCUUGAGAGCCUUCGCUUGCUCAUGCAGACGGAUAUCGACGAGCUGCGCAGUCAGAGAGACGAACUGCAGGCAGAGUUAAGACGUGUGAACGAGGCGCGCGUGCGCGAGUCCAUGGCACGACGUCGCAACGUGCUGGACAGCCCCGAGACCCUGAAGCGCAUCCUUGCGGAGGACGUGGGGGAAGGUACGGAGGACCUGGGCGGCAACGCCUCACGUGAGCAGGGGCGUGGUGACUCCGGCAACGCUGCUGACGGUGUGCACAAGAUGGGGCCAAAGGCAAAGGCGAUGCAGAGGGCGUACAAGAAAAUGAUUCAAAAGCUGAACCGCCAGCUGUCGGAUAGCAGCCGUGACAGGGCUGCACUCGUGCAACGCAUUCAGCAGCUCGAGCGCACGCUCACGCUCUACGGCAUCCCCGUACAGGCGACACCCGGGUGCGCCACGGAGUAUAAGGAGGCCGAGGCUAGUCACGGUGGCAACACCAGGGGCGGGCCUGCUCGCCCAGACGCCUCCGCGUCGGACCGGGAGAGCUCCAGCGCUGAGAGUCACACGGAGGAGUCGUUGCUGACUGCUGGCAGCGCAGACGCCGCGCUCGUGCUGCUUUUCAAGGAGCAGGAGAUUGAGGUGCGGGAUGGCCUGAUCGCUCAGCUUGAGAGGCAGCUGUCAAAAGCGGUGUCGGCAUACGAAAAUGAUCAAAAAUAUAUUCAGGAGCUGAAGACACUGCUACGCGAUGCCGGCGAGACACCGCCAGAGACGUCGUCGAGCGGCUCGCAGCCGGUGGAGGGGGUGCCGCUGGAGGAGUACAGCACGCUGCUACGGCAGCUCCGUUCCCAUAACCGCAAGCUUCUCGUGGAGCUACUUGUGCUGCAGUCGCGCCAGAAGGCGGAGGCAACGGAGUCACCCACGACCGAGCGGUUGCUCUUCGAGGAACAGCUGGAGGAACGAGACACGGAGCUGGAGAUGAAGGAUGAAAUGCUGCUUGAGAAGAACGCGAUGCUGCAGUACAUGGCGACGCUGAGUGCGCGGCUCAUCAAUCAAAUGGAGGCGCUGGGGCUCGAGCCGUGCUGUCAUCUGCCGGAGCGCUAUCAAGACCUCGUCAAGGCGGAAAAGGACCAGCUUGACAUCCAGGCAGCAAAGCAGCGCGAGCUGGAGGCGCAGCUGCAGCGGGAGCAGGACGAGAAGAAGAAGAUGAAACGGCUGCUCGAGGCGAUCAAUGCCGAGCGUGAACAGGGCGCUGCCGUCCUUCGGCAGACGGAGCUGCGCAACAAGGAACUGCGCGAGCGCGAGAACAGCGCGAUGACGGCACUGCAGGAGCUCACAGAGCGAACGAUACAGAAGGAAAUGAUGCGCGACGAGGCGCUGCGGCGCACCACGCAUGAGCUCAUGGAACUGCAGGCGCGUUACGCUAAUCAGCAGCACCGCCGCAGCUCCAACCUCUUCGAGCGGCUUCUCCGCAGCAUCAUUGAAUAGGAAAAACUGAAAACAGGACCUCCUUAAUAACUCAUUCCCAUUGCCGCUGUCGGUAGCGACGUGCCAUCUGCGACGCCUCCUUGUUCAUCACUGUGAAUGCCUUCAUCUCCCCCCUCCACCCCCUCUUUCACCUGACGCGUUCGCUUUUCGCCCUGUCCGUGAGCGCGUAUGCGCGAGGGCUCUGUGAGGCGUCCUUUGUCUUUCUGUGCCUCGCGUGUUGCGCGAAGGUGCAUAUGUGUGCGUAUGUGUGUAUGUGUGUGGUGUGUCCCCCUGUACUCGUCAUGAUUGGCGAUUUCGCUGCUUGGCUGUCUUGCGUUUUUUUUUACCUUUUUUAUUGCCGCUUUGUGCAUUCUCCUUUGUGUCUUUCUUCCACCCACCUCUCGUUGUCGUUCUCCCUUUGCUCGGUCUUGAACAUCCCUCACCUCACCUCGUCCCCCCCCCCUCUGUGUGUGUGUGUGUGUUUGAGUAUGCUUGUAUAGAUUGAUAGGGGUGUGCUGGUGCGCAACACAUCUCGCCCUCCUUUGCCUCAUCUCCGCAGUCGUCUUCAUUGAUUGGUGCUCUGCGUCUCCCUCGCUGUGUUAGCGGCUCUUCCCCCCCCCCCCCCACACACACACAAAACGAUAAGAGCAACAGCAAAAGUCGAACGAAGCGCCUCAGCGAUUUACUCGCCUCUGCUCAUGUGCUUAACGAUCCGUUGCGUUGUAUAUGGCGUCUUCAGGUCAGCUGUGUUCUCUCAACACGCUCUUC
rnacentral:misc_RNA from 1 species